rnacentral:piRNA from 1 species
UAAUUGCUUUAUUGUCUAAUGCGUAGUGAC